rnacentral:rRNA from 1 species
GAUGAACGCUGGCGGCGUGCCUAAUACAUGCAAGUCGAGCGAACAGACGAGGAGCUUGCUCCUCUGACGUUAGCGGCGGACGGGUGAGUAACACGUGGAUAACCUACCUAUAAGACUGGGAUAACUUCGGGAAACCGGAGCUAAUACCGGAUAAUAUAUUGAACCGCAUGGUUCACUAGUGAAAGACGGUUUUGCUGUCACUUAUAGAUGGAUCCGCGCCGCAUUAGCUAGUUGGUAAGGUAACGGCUUACCAAGGCAACGAUGCGUAGCCGACCUGAGAGGGUGAUUGGCCACACGGGAACUGAGACACGGUCCAGACUCCUACGGGAGGCAGCAGUAGGGAAUCUUCCGCGAUGGGGGAAAGCCUGACGGAGCAACGCCGCGUGAGUGAUGAAGGUCUUCGGAUCGUAAAACUCUGUUAUUAGGGAAGAACAAAUGUGUAAGUAACUAUGCACGUCUUGACGGUACCUAAUCAGAAAGCCACGGCUAACUACGUG